CUAUUGAUUUUUACAAACCUUUCCUUGAAAUCCGGCGCCCGCAGGUUCCCACUUCGGCAAGAGUUCGCCGAUGACCUUAAGCACUCCGAUCCGGUGCCGCUAAGGCUGCCACCCAGGGGGAGGCUGGCGCUCUUGGCACGGAGGAUUCAAUUGGUGAAUCUGGCUGCGCCCUGAGGUUAAUCGGGAGGCACCUGGAUGGACGAAAAGGGAAAGCCUAAGGCUGAGAAAAGCCGAUCAUGCAUGUACGAGUGUCCCGCGCUGAUCAGGGAGAAGGUUCAUUGGCACAUAGACUUCUGUGUUAACAGGGCGACAACGUCAAGGAUGGCAUCUGCGAGAACUCUUUUGUGUUAGAUAAAUUGAUGAUUAUGUCUGGAUCUCCGGGGGCAGACACUAUCAUACUGAAUCUCAGCCGGACCACGACUGUCAACAGGGUCACCGUAUUCUUUGAGGAACACAAACAAUCCAGGAUCCAAAUGAGCUUGGUUACGUACUAAAUUAUUGUUGAGGAUCUCAGGUAAUCGUUGCAGUUGAAGAUUACGCCCCUGAUCAUCAUUCUCAUUUUCAAACUUGCCAUUUAUCAGAGGAUUUGGAUGGGGUGCAUUCAUGCAUUAUAUUGGAGCAAGGACCUGCCGAGGAGGGGGAUACCAUGGGGAGGCGAACCUGGUAAAAUAGGGGUGGAAAGUAUACUAUAGACUGUGGGGUUUGUGUAUCCUUAUCCAGGACAUUGUGAAGGCUUCUGAUGCAGUUUACAAGAAGCAAUUGGUGAGCUAAUUCAGAGAUAAGUGAUAUGAUAAUAAGAAGGUUAAAUAAUGUUGUUCAAUCUUUCUGUCAAGCAACCUGUUUGGCCCCAAAUGUCCGCACCGACGCGGUGACGCCCGUGGGCGCCACCGUUCCUUCCUGAAGGGCAUCGGGUAUUCCCCUUCCCCAUGCCCGUCCGCGUACCGGGGGAAACCCUAGGACUUGUCCGGGCAGUAGCGUCAUUGUUGUCGUGUUCCUUC